rnacentral:rRNA from 1 species
CAGCAGCCGCGGUAACACGAAGGUCCCGAGCGUUGUUCGGAAUCACUGGGCGUAAAGGGAGCGUAGGCGGCGUGGUAAGUCAGAUGUGAAAUCCCGGGGCUCAACCCCGGAACUGCAUCCGAUACUGCCUUGCUAGAGGAUUGGAGAGGUAGCUGGAAUUCUUGGUGUAGCAGUGAAAUGCGUGGAGAUCAAGAGGAACACUCGUGGCGAAAGCGAGCUACUGGACAAUAACUGACGCUGAGGCUCGAAGGCCAGGGUAGCGAAAGGGAUUAGAUACCCGCGUAGUCCCUGUCUCUUAUAC